rnacentral:lncRNA from 1 species
GGGCGUGUGCCCGAGCUGCCUCCGCGACCGCCUCGCCCACCUCUCCGCCAACUCCUCGGCGACCACCACCCUCACGCGCGCCUCCAACUCGGCCAGCACCUCCCCCUACUCCUCCACCGACUCCCCUCCGCUCCACCACGCCGCCCUCUCCGCCGACACCACCUCCGUCCACGUCGUCGGCGCCGGGGCCGGCUCCUCCUUCGUCAACGUCUCUGCCUUCUCGCAGCCGCUCAUGCCGACGACCGCCAAGAAAGCAGCAGCAGGGAGGCAAGAGGAGGCCAAGGGAAAGGAGGGCGAGGCGAAGAAGAAAAAGAAGAGCAGCAGCAAGAAGAAGAUCGGGAGGUUCCUGUCGAGGCUCGUCGGGACGGAGAAGCGGCGGAGGACUGGGGAAGGCGACGGCGGCGAGCUCUUCCAUUCCAGCACCAUGAAGGAGAAGUCGUCGACCAAGUGGGUCUUCUUUUGAUCAGGCCACCAACCAUGAUCGAGAACCAUGCCUGGCCUUUCUCGGUUCUCACUUCUCGAUCGAUCGGGUAUUGGUUUUCUUUGUUUCCUCUGUUUUUGUUUUACAACAAGUAUUCUUCUUGAGCUUGAUUUGAUAUUUUCCUCAAGCGCCGUGUAUAUACACGAGAUCAAGUAGCUGACCGUAAGGAGACGCAUACAUAUAUGGUGAAAUUGCAUAUGGUUAUUGAUUUUUUUUUAUAUAUAUGUAGGACAGGGUGUAUGGAUGUAAAUUAACGUGUAUUUGUAUCUAGCAUAGCAUGUAGUAUGUACAAGUACCAUGUGAAAUUGAAUGCUCCUGUGAUUCACGAAUUAUACCAUAGCUUUGCUUAAUUUUCUCGGUAGCUACAUGCAUACCGUUGGUCUUGCUACUAUCCGUACUCGUUACUUGUUCUGACUGACGACGGGGAUUGAUUGAACACAUCAGCGGAAAGAGAAAGCAAAAUGUUUGCAUCGUAUACAU